CACAAGGGUAACAAAUGGUUGAAGGAUGAUCAAAACGUAGACCAAUGUUCUCCAGAAGUUCCACUACAUGAAGAACUAAAGCGAGAAACAGUUGAGAAAAGGGUAAAAGAUAAGUCACAAGGACUAGACGGGGAAUUACUGGACACCAGGUCUGCAGGAAUUAUCACCCAUAGCAAGGACUAGACGGGGAAUUACUGGACACCAGGUCUGCAGGAAUUAACACCCAUAGCAAGGACUAGACGGGGAAUUACUGGACACCAGGUCUGCAGGAAUUAACACCCAUAGCAAGGACUAGACGGGGAAUUACUGGACACCAGGUCCGCAGGAAUUAACACCCAUAGCAAGGACUAGACGGGGAAUUACCGGACACCAGGUCCGCAGGAAUUAACACCCAUAGCAAGGAUUAGACGGGGAAUUACUGGACACCAGGUCUGCAGGAAUUAACACCCAUAGCAAGGACGUUAAAAUUCUAAUCUCUCCCGCUCUCAUUCAAGACCCUAUCUAGGGCCCGCCUGAUCAAGAAACAAGCCCCCGGGCUUUGUCAAUAGACUCUGAUACAAAGGUUGCAAAGAAAAAUGUCAAACGCUUCGUUAAAAGCCAAGCCCACUCAAAAUCGGAAAAGUCAAUCUGCUUCCACCUUGAACAGAAAUGGCACAUCACGUCGUUGCAAACGACCACUCCACUUUGUGGGGAACAUGUCCACUAAACAAGAAUCGAAACGACCAUACCUGGAAACAGUCCUGGAGGACUGCUUAACUUGCCAUGCGCUAACUGAUUGGGGUUCGACAAUAUCACUCAUCUCUCAAACAUUGUUUGAGGAUCUCAAAAGGGCUCUGAAGCCAACUAAACGUUGGUUAAAAGUGGAACGAUGCGACACUACACUUUGAGGGGUCACUCAGACUACCUCGCCUCUCACAUUGAGAGUCAUGCUGAAACUACACUUCAAGGACGUAUCGCUCGUUCACCCUGUGUAUGUUACCAGCCUCGAAACUGUUACCCUGUAGACUUGGAGCAGACCUGAUGGAUCGGUAAACCAACCAGGUAUGGUCACAGGCCACCGUGCCUUCUCCACCGACCACACUGUCUUCCUCUUACGCUAGCUGCAACACAGUCAUUUACGAGGGGUUUCUGUCGAAAGUACCCCUUGGGAAAAAGACGUUCAGAAACCUCUUGGGGCAGAAUCCGAUCCAAUGAGAUAUUAUGACAUCUCGACACAUUUCAUCAGCCAACUUGAUGGACCAUUCUUUUCGAGUCAGCUGUCUCUGUGAAUGCGCAACUUCCUUCCUCCUUGCAGUCGUGCAAUACGGUAGUUGAGAUGAACUUCUCUUGCCUUUCGGACACUUCCGCAAACACUGCGGCCGUCUCAGCAAGAAAAACAGUGAUGCACAGAGUAUACUCUACUUCGAUGAUACACCUUCCUCUUUGUGGGGGACUGUCACCCCUUACAAUGACACCAAUGGCGUCAGUCCAGCAACUGAUCCGAUGACUCCCGCUGGGGAAAAACUUUGCGAUAUCACAGACCGAUAUCCUCAUCUCAGUUCGCAGGUACUGAAGAGGUUGCCACACGCGGACACGGUGGUGACUGACAUGCCUCUACAGCCACUGAGGGUGUUGAAGCACAAACACCAGGAGAUUUGGUUGAAAGGUUACAGCGACUCUCGUAACAACGCGGCCGCUGACAACUCGUACACAGGGUCCGGCCUUUUCGUUUGCGCCUCGGACACC